GCGCUCGUGGCGGAAUUGGCAGACGCGUCAGGUUGAGGGCCUGGUGACCGUUUCAGGUCGUGUGAGUUCAAAUCUCACCGAGCGCA
rnacentral:tRNA from 1 species